UUCAACUCCAACCAUCGUGACGUUACCUACAUCGUUGCUUCGGCGGGUGGCGGGCUUCGGCCCUGCCCUCGGCCCCUCUCGGGGGCCCGCCGGAGGUACACCAAACUCUUGAAUUUACAUGGCCUCUCUGAGUCUUCUGUACUGAAUAAGUCAAAACUUUCAACAACGGAUCUCUUGGUUCUGGCAUCGAUGAAGAACGCAGCGAAAUGCGAUAAGUAAUGUGAAUUGCAGAAUUCAGUGAAUCAUCGAAUCUUUGAACGCACAUUGCGCCCGCCAGUAUUCUGGCGGGCAUGCCUGUCCGAGCGUCAUUUCAACCAUCAAGCCCCCGGCUUGUGUUGGGGACCUGCGGCACACCCGCAGGCCCUGAAAACCAGUGGCGGGCUCGCUGUCCACACCGAGCGUAGUAGCAUAUCUUUGUCUCGCUCAGGGCGUGCGGCGGGUUCCGGCCGUGAAACCCACCUUCUCGAAGGUACCCAAAGGUUGACCUCGGAUCAGGUAGGAAGACCCGCUGAACUUAAGCAUAUCAAUAAGCGGAGGAA
rnacentral:rRNA from 2 species